rnacentral:rRNA from 1 species
AUGGAGGCGGCUCUGGUGAGUGCGGCGACGGGUGCCUUGAAGCCCGUCCUUCGGAAGCUGGCCACCCUUUUGGGUGACAAGUACAAGCGUUUCAAGGGCGUGCGUGGCGAAAUCAAAUCGCUCAGCAGCGAACUUGCUGCCAUGGAGGCGUUUCUUCUGAAGAUGUCGGUGGAGGAGGAUCCUAAUGAUCAGGAUAAGGUAUGGAUGAAUGAAGUCCGGGAGCUCUCCUAUGACAUGGAGGACUCCAUCGAUGACUUCAUGCAAAGUGUGGGCAGCGAAGACUCAAAGCCAAAUGGUUUCUUGGAAAAGAUGAAGAGCUCGUUGGGGAAGAUGAAGGCUCGUCGUGGGAUUGGCAAUGAGAUCCAAGAUCUGAAGAAACAAAUGGUAGAGGUGGCGGAGAGGAAUGAAAGGUACAAGGCCCGUGACGGAAAGGUACAAGGCUCUAGGAAUGAAAGGUACCAGGCCAAGAAUACAACCAUUGAUCCUAGAGCUCUUGCUAUCUUUCAGCAUGCCUCCAAACUUGUCGGAAUUGAUAAACCCAAGGCAGAGGAUCCGGUGGGAUGGGCAAAACAACUCUUGCAUAUCAAGUGUAUCAAAGGAGAGUUCAAAUGUCGGGCCUUCUUAUCCGUGUCGAGAAAUCCAGACAUGAUGAAUGUCAUGAGAACUAUUUUUAGUGAAGUUAGUGGGAAAGAUUAUUGUAACACUGAAGCAGGGAGUAUACAACAACUCAUUAGCAAGAUCGCCGAUUUCUUGGAAGACAAAAGGUAUUUUGUUGUUUUUGACGAUAUAUGGGACAUAGAUACAUGGCAUGUUCUUAAGCUUGCACUUCCCAUGACUAGUUCUGGCAGUAUCAUAAUCACCACUACUCAUAUAAAUGAUGUUGCCGAAUCAUGCCGGUCAACACCAUUCAGUGGAGAUAUUUAUUACAUAAGGCCUCUUGAUAUGGUGCACUCUAGGCAGUUAUUUUGCACAAGAUUAUUCAACUCCAAAGAAAAAUGCCCAUCUUACCUUAAAAAGGUUUCCGAACAUAUUUUGACAAAAUGUGCUGGGUUGCCUUUGGCAAUCAUUGCUAUAUCUGGUUUGUUGGCCAAUACUGAAAGGACAGAGGGUCCAUGGAAACAAGUUGCAGAUUCGAUUGGUCGAGCACUUGAAAGAAAUCCCAGUGUUGAAGGAAUGAUGAAGAUAUUGUCACUUAGUUACUUUGAACUGCCUGCUCAUCUGAAAUCUUGUCUCUUAUGUUUGAGUGUAUUCCCUGAGGAUUCUAUUAUUAAGAAGAACAUUGUGAUACGUAGGUGGAUUGGUGAAAGAUUAAUUCAUACAGAAGCUGGAUAUAGUACAACAUAUGAAUUUGGAGAAAGGUGUUUUAAUGAGCUCAUCAACAGGAGUUUGAUCCAACCGGGGAAGACAGACAUAUUUGAUAGGGUCAACAGUUGCCGACUUCAUGACACAAUUCUUGAUUUCAUCAUAUCCAAAUCUAUAGAAGAAAACUUUGUCACUUUGGUAGGUGUUCCUAGUUUAACUGUUGGGACACAAAGCAAAGUUCGUCGGAUCUCCCUGCAAGCCGGCAAGCAACAAGAACUGAUAGUACCAAGAGGCUUGGUGCUGUCUCAUGUCCGAUCACUUGAUGUGUUCGGGACAUCAGUAAAAAUCCCUUCAAUGGAUAAGUUCAUGCAUUUGCGUUUUCUGGACUUUGGAGGAUGCAAACAGCUGGAGAACCAUCAUAUUGAAAAUAUAGGGAGGUUGUUUUUGCUGAGGUACCUAAGCCUCCAAGGAGCGAAGAAAGUAAACAAGCUCCCAAAACAAAUCGGACAUCUAUGGUGCUUAGAGGUACUGGACUUAAGAGAUACCUUUGUUUCUGAGUUACCCGCAUCUAUUGCUAAUCUCAAGAGAUUGGUGUACCUAUUUAUCAAGAACAAUGUUACCCUUCCUUGUGGAAUUUCCAAGCUGCAAGCACUGGAAAAAUUGAAGUAUGUCGGCGUGUGUAGGCAGUCAUCAACUUUCCUACAAGAACUUGUGCAGCUGCAGAAUUUGAAGGUAUUGCAGCUUGAUUUUAGAGAACCUGUUUCUACUGACCAAUUGAACGCUGAAAACAAGAAAGCUAUUAUUCCUGCUUCCCUUAAAAACCUAGGGAACCUUCUCUCUCUAACUGUUUGCUAUGGCCCCGAAUUAGUAGGGAAGUCUCUGUGCCCUAUGCCACUUAGCCUCCACAAGCUUAUAGUCUACUAUUCGAGUAUUCCCCAUGUUCCAAAGUGGGUGGGCUCCCUUGUCAACCUCCAGGAAGUACGCCUUGAAUUGGUCGGAGCUGAGCAGAAAGAUUUCUAUAUCCUUGGAGGCUUGCCUGUUCUGCGUUAUCUGGUUCUGGAAAUUGAUGACCGUGAAAUUAGAAAUAGUACUCCUUCUACAGUAGAGCCUGAAGUUAAAAGGGUCAUAAUCUGUGGUGAAGUUGGAUUCCCAAACUUGAGGAAAUUUUGUUAUUAUAGUCCGCUUGCUGGGAUGAAUCUGACGUUUGCGGAUGGAGCCAUGCCCAAGAAAAUCUCCCCUGCCUCGUCAAAAUCAGAUGUGUACUACGCGGAUACGAUAUUAGCAGAGUUGAGGCUGCAAAGGCUGCCAUUCGGGAAGAAGCCAACGCACAUCCCAACCGCCCUAGCUGCAACGCCAAAGGUUGAUCAUCACUGCAUUUCUGAGAUCGAAACAUUCAACAUUCUCUGCGAGGAUGGAUCUGCCUCCCUGCUGAACGACACCAAGCACAAGGCAGCCCUUGACGUGAAGCUCGGAACACAAGAGGUCUCGCCUCUGAAUCUGAACCUUGCCCAGUUCUCUUACCGGCUGACCUUGCAAAAUUCAGAUUCAGAGUAUCACGUCAGAAUCAUGGUGAAGAAGACGCGGUGGAACCAGCCUGCAACGACACACAAGGAGGAGUCAGAGGAGGAGAGGGCUACCGCAGAGGCAAACCAGAGGGAGGAGAUGAUCAGGUUCCUGGAUACGGCUGCAAGGCACAGGUCCAGAGUGACCAUGCCCACCAAAAUAUGCUCGGCUGCUUGGGCUCGACUAAGUUUUUUUACCGGAGCGGGGAGCUACCGGCGAAGAAUCCACCACACAUGA